rnacentral:rRNA from 1 species
UACGUAGGGUGCAGGCGUUAAUCGGAAUUACUGGGCGUAAAGCGUGCGCAGGCGGUCUGCUAAGAGAGAUGUGAAAUCCCCGGGCUUAACCUGGGAACUGCGUUUCUAACUGGCAGGCUUGAGUGUGGCAGAGGGGGGUGGAAUUCCACGUGUAGCAGUGAAAUGCGUAGAGAUGUGGAGGAACACCGAUGGCGAAGGCAGCCCCCUGGGCUAACACUGACGCCUCAUGCACGAAAGCGUGGGGAGCAAACAGG